rnacentral:rRNA from 1 species
UACGUAGGUGGCAAGCGUUGUCCGGAUUUACUGGGCGUAAAGGGCGUGCAGGCGGUCUGUUAAGUGCAGGGUGAAAGCUCCCGGCUCAACUGGGAGAGGUCCUUGCAUACUGGCGGACUUGAGGGGGGUAGAGGAAAGUGGAAUUCCUGGUGUAGCGGUGAAAUGCGCAGAUAUCAGGAGGAACACCAGCGGCGAAGGCGGCGCUCUGGGCCGGUACUGACGCUGAGGAGCGAAAGCGUGGGUAGCAAACAGG